rnacentral:rRNA from 1 species
AGUGAACGCUGGCGGUAGGCCUAACACAUGCAAGUCGAACGGCAGCACAGGAGAGCUUGCUCUCUGGGUGGCGAGUGGCGGACGGGUGAGGAAUACAUCGGAAUCUACCUUUUCGUGGGGGAUAACGGAGGGAAACUUACGCUAAUACCGCAUACGACCUUCGGGUGAAAGCAGGGGACCUUCGGGCCUUGCGCGGAUAGAUGAGCCGAUGUCGGAUUAGCUAGUUGGCGGGGUAAAGGCCCACCAAGGCGACGAUCCGUAGCUGGUCUGAGAGGAUGAUCAGCCACACUGGAACUGAGACACGGUCCAGACUCCUACGGGAGGCAGCAGUGGGGAAUAUUGGACAAUGGGCGCAAGCCUGAUCCAGCCAUACCGCGUGGGUGAAGAAGGCCUUCGGGUUGUAAAGCCCUUUUGUUGGGAAAGAAAAGCAGCCAGUUAAUACCUGGUUGUUCUGACGGUACCCAAAGAAUAAGCACCGGCUAACUUCGUGCCAGCCGCCGCUGUAA